AACGAGUCAGCGCAUCACAAGUUCUAUUAAGAACUGAAAAUUCAGAACUUCGCUAACACCUAGGCUGCAUGAGGCCAAAAGUUAAGUCUAUAUAACAACGCAAUACUCGCUUUGUUUCUUUACAACGCACAAAGAAAAUGCCAUUUUUUCCCGGCAAACUGAAAAGGCAGAGGAGGCUCGCCACACACAUAAUCCCCUCUUUCCUACAAAGUGACAGGGGAGAUGCAAGGCGCCAGGGAGAGACGAACCAACGCCUGGUGGGGAUGCCAGAAGCGGAGAUCAGAAGACAACCACAGCUAGACAACUCCAUGAAAGAAUCCACAAUACUAACAGAUGCAAACUAAAGUUCUAUAAAAAGAACAACAGGCAACCAUUUGGCAAAAGAAGCAGAAAAACAAGCUAACAAGUUGCAAUCUAAUAACUUGCAUUUCACAACAAAUCAGUCUCAGGGGCACAGGAGUUUAGCCGAAGCAGGAAUAGAAAUACAGUAAUUAAACGACAGACAGAUCAUUGCUCGCUCGGGAUAAGAGUCUGAAGCAACAAAAGCAAUGACCGUGAACAAAAUCCUUCUGCAAGAUAGCGCGCCUAUUUCUUCUUGAUGGCAGCCUUGGUAACCUUGGCGCCGGUGGGGUCCUUCUUCUCCACACCCUUGAUGACACCAACAGCAACCGUUUGUCUCAUGUCACGCACAGCGAAGCGGCCAAGAGGAGGGUAGGUGGCAAAGGUCUCCACAACCAUGGGCUUGGUGGGAAUCAUCUUCACGAUACCAGCGUCACCGUUCUUCAGGAACUUGGGCGCAGCCUCAAUCUCCUUACCAGAUCGCCUGUCAAUCUUGGUCACCAGCUCAGCAAACUUGACAGCAAUGUGGGAGGUGUGGCAGUCCAGCACUGGGGCGUAGCCGUUGCCGAUCUGACCAGGGUGGUUCAUGAUGAUGACCUGAGAGGUGAAGUUGGCUGCCUCCUUGGCAGGGUCAUCCUUGGAGUUGGAUGCAACAAACCCACGCUUCAGAUCCUUGACAGCAACGUUCUUCACGUUGAAGCCGACAUUGUCACCAGGAAGCGCCUCCAGGAGGGACUCGUGGUGCAUCUCAACAGACUUGACCUCAGUUGUCAGACCAGUGGGGCCAAAGGUAACAACCAUACCAGGCUUGAUGACACCAGUCUCAACGCGUCCAACAGGCACAGUUCCAAUGCCACCAAUCUUGUAAACAUCCUGAAGGGGAAGACGCAGGGGCUUGUCUGAGGGCCUCUUGGGCUCAUUGAUCUGGUCAAGAGCCUCAAGAAGGGUAGGGCCCUUGUACCAGUCAAGGUUGGUGGACCUCUCAAUCAUGUUGUCACCCUCAAACCCAGAGAUGG
rnacentral:lncRNA from 1 species